UACUUAUUUCAGUGAGUCCGUAUUUAUGACGGGUAGUGUAUGGUUAUGGUUUCGUUGACCUACCUCACAACACUUCGAAUCGGUCAGAGCUGGAUGAGUGGUCAGUAGAUUGAAUCCGAUCAGUUUGUUGCAGGUCGGAUUGGAGGACUUCCCAAUCACACCCACAAUGAUCAUCUGCUUAUCGGGUUUGAA